UACGUAGGGGGGCGAGCGUUGUCCGGAUUCAUUGGGCGUAAAGAGCUCGUAGGCGGCUUGGCAAGUCGGGUGUGAAAUCUCUGGGCUUAACUCAGAGAGGCCACUCGAUACUGCUAUGGCUAGAGUCCGGUAGGGGACCAUGGAAUUCCUGGUGUAGCGGUGAAAUGCGCAGAUAUCAGGAGGAACACCGGUGGCGAAGGCGGGUCUCUGGGCAGUGAACUGACGUGAGGAGCGAAAGCGUGGGGAGCGAACAGG
rnacentral:rRNA from 1 species